rnacentral:ncRNA from 1 species
CUGUUGGCCAAACUGUCGUUUCUGCUGGAAUAUCUUCUACUGAAAUAGUACUACUACUACUAAUACUACUUAAAAAAACCCAAAGCAAAUAAAACCCACUGCUUUAGAAUGCAUUCAUUGAGCAGUUUGACACGUUUUUUUUAAGAAAUCAAAGUUUUCAAGGCUGGCUGGUCAAUAGUACACUCCAACCAGGAAAAUGACAGGACUCUGGCUCUUUUUUUUUUUUUUUGAAGCAGGAUAAUGUCUCUGGACACUCGUAUUGCACCACUUGAAUUGGAAUUCUUGGACCAGUGCAAGAUGAACUAAAGCAAAAAUGUUUGUCAAGAAUGAUUUCAUUAAUCAAGAAGAAAAGCUGGAGGAUGUGGCCAACUCAAUAUCCAAUGGUUUUACUCCUAUCACUCACCAGGCAGGUCAUGGGACAUCCAAGUCUUUGGGUUCUG